rnacentral:rRNA from 1 species
UACGAGGGGUGCAAGCGUUGCUCGGAAUUAUUGGGCGUAAAGGGUUUGUAGGUGGUCUUGUUUGUCUAGGGUGAAAUCCCAUGGCUUAACUGUGGAAGUGCCCUAGAAACGGCAAGACUAGAGUCCUAGAGGGGUUUGUGGAAUUCCCGGUGUAGCGGUGAAAUGCGUAGAGAUCGGGAGGAACACCAGCGGCGAAGGCGGCAAACUGGAUAGGCACUGACACUCAACAACGAAAGCGUGGGGAGCAAACAGG